UCACUGUUAAAUCAUUUUGAAAUGGCUGCCGCUUAGUGGCAAUAGGGGGAAGGGUGACAUCCGCUAUUGCUUGCAAUGGCAAUUCUAGUUAUGUCACCCGAUCGACAAUGUCGGGUGACAUAUUGCUUUUCCUCUAUUAUUAUUAUUUUUCUUCCACCUAAUUUUGUCCGGCAGUUUUCUCAGAGCCAAAGGAACCAAUCUGAAUGAUAGUGCACUAUAACAAGGAACCCUGACUUACCAGUUGCAUUUUGCAACUUUGGAACUAAAAAAUGGCUGCCAUCACCAUGGAAACGGAAAAAUGGUGAAAAAAUAUAAUUUUGGAGUUAGGUGAAUUGUUUGAGAAUGCUUAAGCUUAAAAUCUUUAGAUUUUAAUACAAUGUAGGUGCCCACUAUAUACUGCUUUGGGAUGAUUUUGGCAAUCAUUGGAACUGCUAUGUUGCCAUGGAUACUACACCAAAAAUUUCCAAAAUAUGGAAAUGCUCCAAAUUUUAUAAAACUUCAGAGUAACGAUGAGCAACA
rnacentral:lncRNA from 1 species